UACGUAGGGGGCAAGCGUUGUCCGGAUUUAUUGGGCGUAAAGAGCGUGUAGGCGGCCAGACAGGUCAGCUGUGAAAACUCGAGGCUCAACCUCGAGACGUCGGUUGAAACAGUCUGGCUAGAGUCCGGAAGAGGAGAGUGGAAUUCCCGGUGUAGCGGUGAAAUGCGCAGAUAUCGGGAAGAACACCCGUGGCGAAGGCGGCUCUCUGGGACGGUACUGACGCUGAGACGCGAAAGCGUGGGGAGCGAACAGG
rnacentral:rRNA from 1 species